UACGGGGGGGGCAAGCGUUGUUCGGAAUUACUGGGCGUAAAGGGCUCGUAGGUGGCCAACUAAGUCAUGCGUGAAAUCCCUCGGCUUAACCGGGGAACUGCGUCUGAUACUGGAUGGCUUGAGUUUGGGAGAGGAUGCGGAAUUCCAGGUGUAGCGGUGAAAUGCGUAGAUAUCUGGAGGAACACCGGUGGCGAAGGCGGCAUCCUGGACCAACACUGACACUGAGGAGCGAAAGCCAGGGGAGCAAACGGG
rnacentral:rRNA from 1 species